rnacentral:rRNA from 1 species
AUGGCGGCACUCCACGCCCAGCGCCUCUUCUUGGCCCAGUCGUCUUCCUUUCUCCCUUCCACCUCCGCCGCGCGCCCACGGCCACGGCCGCGCCGGAGCGGCGCCGCCGCUUGCCGCGCCGCCCUGCGCGUGCCUUCCGGCAUUCACACGGCGCAGGACAGCCUCAGCCUCAAGCUCGACUGGAUCGACGUCCCGGGCUCCCCGUCGGCGGACGUCGACGGCGGCUCCGUGCCCGUCGAGAAGCUCCGCGCCAUCGCGGACGCGGCGGCGGACCGGGCCGAGAUGCACGACAUCAUCGGCAGGCAGCGCGACAACUGGAACCACCUGCUGCUCCACUCCACCAACUCCCUCACGCUCGCCGCCUCCGUCAUGGCCGCGCUCGCGCCCGCCGCGCCCGGCGUGCUCGCGCUCAAGGCCUCCGCGGGGGUCCUCCUGGCCUCCGCCGCCGUCACCAUGGCGGCCGUCAACAAGAUCCAGCCCUCGCAGCUCGCCGAGGAGCAGCGCAACGCCACGAGGCUGUGGAGGGAGCUCGAGCGCGACGUCCGCGCCGCGCUCGCGCUCGGCGCGCACACGACGACGACCAAGGACGACGUGCAGGAGGCCAUGGACCGGGUGCUCGCGCUCGACGCCGCCUACCCGCUGCCGCUGCUCCCCGGCAUGCUCGAGAAGUUCCCCAAGGCCGUCGAGCCCGCGCGCUGGUGGCCGCGCCGCCGCGCCGCGCAGCCCAAGAGGUUAAGGAGCCUCGGCCGUCGUGGCUCCGUCGCCACCGGCAACAACGGCUGGACCCAGGAUCUCGAGGAGGAGAUGCGGGGCAUCCUGAGGGUCAUCAAGGCCAAGGACGAGCAGGAGUUCCUGACGGUGGGCAAGCUGGUGCUGAACCUGAACAGGGGCCUCGCUGUGGCCGGCCCGGCGCUGGCCGGCACGGCGGCGCUCGCGUCGGUGUUCAUCGGGUCCGGCGAGGCCGGCACGUGGGCGUCUGGCGCGGCCGUCUUCGGCGGGGCGCUGGCGGCGGCGGUGAACACGAUGGAGCACGGCGGGCAGAUGGGCAUGCUGUUCGAGCUGCUCCGCAACUGCGCCGGGUUCUACCGCAAGAUCCAGGAGGACAUCGAGGCCAACCUCGGCGAGCCCGACCUCGAGCGGAGGGAGGGCGGCGAGGUGUUCGCGACCAAGGUGGCGCUGAAGCUCGGCCGGAGCCUGUCGGACCUCAAGCAGUUCAGGAAGAUGGCGUCGCCGUCCGUCAGGGACGAGGACAUCGAGGAGUUUGCCGGCAAACUCUUUUGA